rnacentral:rRNA from 1 species
CAAUAGCGUAUAUUAAAGUUGUUGCAGUUAGAACGCUCGUAGUCGGAUUUCGGGGCGGGGCGACCGGUCUGCCGAUGGGUAUGCACUGGUCGGCGCGUCCUUCCUUCCGGAGACCGUUCCUACUCUUAACUGAGCGGGGGCGGGAGACGGAUCGUUUACUUUGAAAAAAUCAGAGUGUUUCAAGCAGGCAGCUCGCUCUUGCAUGGAUUAGCAUGGGAUAAUGAAAUAGGACUUUGGUGCUAUUUUGUUGGUCUCGAACACCGAAGUAAUGAUUAAAAGGGACAGUCAGGGGCACUCGUAUUCCGCCGAGAGAGGUGAAAUUCUCAGACCAGCGGAAGACGAACCACUGCGAAAGCAUUUGCCAGGGAUGUUUNCACUGA